CAGACAUGGCAGCCGUGACCAUCGCAUUGUCAUAAUGGCUUGCGUUACUGGAGUAGGAUGACGUUACACUGAUCUGAAGUCAGUUUUGUUUUGUUCCCCCAUAAUGGUUAAGGUAAGGCAUCGGGGAGGGUGAGCUGAUCCUAGAUACGUGCCCGAAGGGUAACUUCUGUUUGGAGCGGCGUAUUACAAAGCGGUUUUAUGGGCCCUUAGCACUGAUUUACAGUCAGUUUGACGUUUUCUCCCCUAAUGGUUAAUGUUAGGCAUCGGGGGGGUGAGCUGAUCCUAGAUCUCUACCUAAGGCUAACUUCUAUUCCAAAGUUUUAUGGCAGCUGACACAAUGCAAGCGGGAGCCACGAUUAAAGAUGCAGGAGGGUCUGGUCAGGGAGGGCCACUAAUCAUGCAAGUUUAUGGUGGGAUUAAAAGGAAAGAUGGACCCCCUCUCUAAAUUGUGUGUGGGUGUGUGGAGCUAAUGAUAUAAACUGGAGGCUCUAUGGGCCUCUGUGUAGUUAACAUUUCAUAUAGAAUGUAUUUAGACAAUACACCCCUCCCUCCCUCUAGCAUCCGACUGUGUGUACGUGUAACAGGGUUGGUUAUGUUUCCACUUGCCUCUAAAGAAAUGUGUAUUUAAUGUUCAAGCAUUCUUAUUGGUUAGUUCAACUCUGAUAACAAUAAGGUGUGUUGUGAUUGGCCCCGCUUGCAGAUAGGGGGAGAUCGCGAACGUCAGGUCUCCCCAGUAUGAAAAUGUGAUGCAAGGGGUAGGUUACGUUCUGAAUACUGUUUUCUAUUUUACAAUGUGUACAAGUUUGCUGUACGUUACUUAUUUAUACAUGUGUGGGUAUAUGGUACCUGUUAGGGAUUGAGGGGCUUUCUGGGAUGUGCUUUGGCAUAUGAUUGCUGUAAAUACGUGUGUUAGCUAGCAUACACCGAUGUAAUGGUCACAUAAGCCACUGCUAACACAGUUGUCUUCAUGCUACAGAUUUUGCCAUCGACAGCCAUCAAUACCGUUAAGCCCUGCACAACUAACGUGCUGUUUCCCAUUUAACAACAGGUAUUUACACAUGUUAUAUUCUGUAUUGUAUUUUUGUAUUUUGUUCGCCCAGUAUGAAAAUGUGAUGCAAGGGAUUUUGCCAUCGACAGCCUUCAAUACCGUUAAGCCCUGCACAACUAACGUGCUGUUUCCCAUUUAACAACAGGUAUUUACACAUGUUAUAUUUUGUAUUGUAUUUUUGUAUUUUGUUCGCCCAGUAUGAAAAUGUGAUGCAGGGGAUUUUGCCAUCGACAGCCAUCAAUACCGUUAAGCCCUGCACAACUAACGUUUCCCAUUUAACAACAGAAAUACAUGCUCAACUGGGACCACUGGCCGAAGUGAUUUAUUUUGAGAAAACAUUAUACAUCUGUUACACUAGUGCCGUGACCCGGAUCACUGGUUGCUGCGGAAAAGGAGGAAGGUCAAAAGGGGGUGAUUCACAGGGUGGAGGUGACAGAGGAGGUAGAACUGAACUGGCCUCGUGGUUUUUGGGUGAGUGUGUCGAAGCUGAGACCAACAAGAGGCAUGCUAGAGGUGCGAGCCACAAGGCCCUAACGAAGCCCGACCCAGAUGAGUGCAAUGCUGUUGCUGAAGUGACUGGAAUUCGAAUGGCAUUGACCCCAAUGACACAAUUGUUAACAGGCUGUGGUCCACGCUGUAGGAACACUAGCCGCUUCAGGCGGAUCAAGUAGAGUCACAUAGAGGACAAAGAGGAGCAGCAAGGAGAAGAGGAGAUGGGGUGUGUCUAUCUGCUUACACUGGGCACACACCUGAGAACAGCUCUACAUCUUUACUGACGACCAACCCAAAGAGGAGAGAAACAACAGGCAUAAUGUAGCACAGUUCCAGGGACUACAAUGGGUGCGUUACCAGACCAGUACAGCUUGGCAUGGAUUGGCUCAGUCGUGAGAAACAGUCAGUCCUGACCUGUUCAUGAGUGACGGGGAUGAGUCGGAGUUUGGACAGCUCUCUCAGCACGUUGAGGUCCGUACGCAUGUCCAGCUUACAGCCCACCAAUAUCACCUUGGCGUUAGGACAGAACUCCUGCGUCUCCCCCUGCCACUGUGGAGCAAGAGGAAGAAACUAGUCAGAACCGAGCGUAACAGGCACACGGGACUACAUGGCGAUGGCAUGGAGGGAGUGGGGAUGAAAUGGUCAGUGGAUCUAGUAUUCACACAACAUUAACUAUGGACACACAUAAUACGACCAUCAUCAGAACCCUGACAUUUUAAUUGAGUGGUGAUUAUUAUACUUCCUUGGAAAAAUAUCAGCAUAACUUACAUUUUACUAGAGCAAAUACCAGUUAUAUAUUUGUUUUGUAUAUUGUGAGAUAUGCUGUGAUAUAUGCUGUUGUAAGAGUAGUUAUUUUUCAUGUAAUUACAAAGCAGGUAGGCAAAUAGAGAGAAUAAACCAUAAAGUUUUAAACAAAAAAGCGAAUUAAAUUUCAGAGAAAGUUAAACGCCUAAAACAAAGUGCCGACAAUUUCCCAAUUUGAGUUUUUAAGCACUCCAGUUACUAAUCACGUCUCUGGUUGUUUACUUGAGAAAUGCUGAGUGUUUAGUUCUUAGAACAUUAUUGGAACGUUCUUAAUGACCCCUGGGCACAGGGGGAGGGCACUGCCAACGAGCACAACUUUCUCUUGGCAUAAGCAAUGCCCCUGCAGAAUCUCCUCUGAUUAACGACAGAGGGCAAAGACUGGCAUCUGGGCAUCUCCCAUGGCACCAGUCCACCCUCUCUUGUUGUGCGUAUGCUACUUCAAUGUGGCCAUGCACAAUAAGCAUUAUACAGUGUAUAUGCCCUGUGUAAGCUAAAUUAGCACCAAGGUUUGUAAAUGUUGAUGUUUUUGUGCUAAUAUGAUGUUGUAGAAUGAACAGAUCCUUUUACUUAUUUUAAAAACAGCAACCUAUGAUGUGUAACCUUAAGUUACACCAAUGGAAUUGUGAACCACAAACUCAACAUGAUGUUAUAGAAGACAUUUUUAUUUGGAAACCAAAUGUCAUACGUGAAGUUGUUUUAAUCAUACAUCGAUUAUUUUAUCAAUUAAAUAAUGUUGCCUGUUGUAUUUACAACACAACGGUACAACAUUAAAUCAAAAUAGUAAUAUACAUGUUAUACAAUAUCCAUGCACAACAAAACCUAAGGAGAAUGAAAAGAUUUGGCAUGGGUCCUCAGAUCCUCAAAAGGUUUUACAGCUGCACCAUCAAGAGCAUCCUAACGGGUUGUAUCACUGCCUGGUAUGGCAACUGCUCGG